CCCGCCUUCCUAUUUCUUCGCUGGCCCGGUCCCGGAGCUAAACCCUCUGCGUUAGCACUGAACUCAAGAGGAGCAGGGUCGAGGGCUACACACAAGAAUGGAGACCUGGCCUCUGAACGGGAGUAACGGCCCACAGUCCCCGCCGGUGGGAUCCCGGCAGCGAGUAAGUCGCAGCUCAGUUCCUUGCCAGCCGCUGGCCUAUGCCCUCUUAGCUUUUCUCAUCUCCACGACGAAUUAUGACGAAAUAGAAAAUUGGAAUGUAAGCCCCACUGGAGCAGGAACCUUAACUAAUGCGAACUUUUCUUCCUCCAGCACAGUAUCAUGCCCAGUGUGAAACCCAAGUGUGAAUUAAACGAAAUCCUGUCCUUCGUAGGUUUUUAAAUUGACUAAUGAAAAAAGGUCUUUUAAAUUGACUAAUGAAAAAAAAAGUCAAGUCGGGUGUAGUGGAGCAGGUCUUUAAACCCAGCAUUUGGAAGGCAGAGGCAGGCAGAUCUUUGAGUUUGAGGCCAGUCUUGGCUCUAUAGAAAUUUCUAGAACAGCCAGAGCUAUGUAGAGACCCUUCCUCCAAAAAAAAUAAAAUAAUAAAAUAAAAUAAAAAAGCUUUAGUCUUACUAUCAAUACUUUGUCCAGUUCAGAGAUAGGGAACACUACAUAGACCAUCUCAAAACAAAAUCAGGGAUCUAGUGAGCCUUAAGCCUUGAUCUUCACUUCACUCAGUCUGUCAUACUGAAGCCUAAUUGGUAGACCCAGGUCAGCUAGGUAGGUAGCUAGGGAAAGUUGCUAGUUUUGGGUUUUGUUUCUUGAAACAGGGUUUCUGUGAAACUUGCUUUGUAGACCAAGUUGGCCACAAACUCAAGAAAUUCACCUGCUUCCAACUCCCAAGUGUUGACUGAAACUUUAAUGUCAAACCCAAGAGCUCUAGGAAACUUUUCUGGUGUGGCUAGGACUAUUGCAGCCUUGGAUCCAGAUGCUGCUGUGGGAGGGGGAAGCAGAUGGGGUGCUGGUAGGCAUGGAGCAUGACUUGAUUUGAAGAUACAAAACAGGCUCAAACUUAUGGGUACUGUCUUGGAAGUUGCCGCCCAAUUAUGAACCCACUUAGUCCAAAGGAAAACUCUUAUGAAGUGCUGCUGUACUUGGCUACUCGCUUCUAGGGGGGAGUUGUGUGUACAGAGCUCCGGAGCUACCCUGCCUAUCAGUAGGGGCCCAUCAGAGUCACUGACUUAACCCUUUUGGUUCUGGUAUUGGGCAGUGGUUAGCUUUUUGCUGAAGUCCCCCCCCCCCCCCCAGAAAUGACAUCAACACUAGUGAGGCUGACAGUCUUGCUGUAAUUGGGAGGAAAUAGGCUGCAGCAUGUUUGGCAUAUUGAGAGUCACCAGUAGCCAAAGUCAGGUUUGUGCAGGCAACUGUAGGGCUCAGAGCCCCCUCACCUCACAUGGUGAGGAGAAGGCGGCAGUCAAGUUCUAGCUGACCCAGAUGAUGAAGUUGGUCCCUUGGAUACUUCUUGAGGAUUCUUGCCUCUCAAGAAGGAAGGGCGUUUUCUCCUCUUGCUGCCAGUUACGUUUGGGGGAGGCUGGUUAUAGGCUUAUAAAAAUCUCAAGGUGGAGACAACCUCCCCCACUGGCCCCUAGCUGGCUUCUGUUCCCAGCCUCUUCACAGCAGAGUCCAAAUCCAGAACCAGUGUGUUUCAUGGGCCUGAGGAUAGGACAGAGUGGCCAGAGACAAGGGUGGGGAAUCAGGGACACUGGCCAUUCUUAGCAGUUCCAAGGAAAUGGCCUUUCUCCCAACCACCUUGCACAGGCUCAGUGGCAAUAGUAGCCACCUGUCCUCCCAGGAGGAUCCCAAGCCCUCCAUGGAGUGGCUCAGAAUGAGGGAGGAGGGUUCAGGCAAGGAAGACCACAAAGAUGAUGAAGAAGACAAUGAGGAUGAGGAAGAUUUUGACCAUGAGCCACCGAUUGGAGGUAACUGACUGGAAGUACUUGAGGAUCUCUGAAUGGGCUGCCUCCACAUCCAGCUGGGCUCCAAGCACAUUCUCGUCGAUCCUGGAGACAGCCAGGAGAUAAACAGAAGGACACUGGGUUAAAAAGAAGAUUGAAGACAUCCAUUUAUUGAUAUGGAAAGGUGAUUACAAUAUGUGGAAGUAAAAAGUGUUUCAUACUGUG
rnacentral:lncRNA from 1 species